rnacentral:rRNA from 1 species
UACGUAGGAGACGAGCGUUGUCCGGAAUCACUGGGCGUAAAGCGCGUGUAGGCGGGUCCGCAAGUCUGCUGUGAAAGCUCCUGGCUUAACCGGGAGUGGUCGGUGGAAACUGCGAACCUGGAGGACGGUAGAGGUAGGUGGAAUUCCCGGUGUAGUGGUGAAAUGCGUAGAGAUCGGGAGGAACACCUGUGGCGAAGGCGGCCUACUGGGCCGGACCUGACGCUGAGACGCGAAGGCGUGGGGAGCGAACGGG